GGCGGGCCAGAGCAACUUUGGGAUCCCCCCUUCAGGCGUCCGUCCCCUGGGGCGAAGGAACAGUGUGGUCACACCUGUCUUCGGAGCGGCGGCGCGAGCGAGGCCCGGGCUGAAGAUGCUGCUGCUUCUGCUGCUCCUGCAGCCGGGCUCCGGGCUGGGCGCCCUGGUCUCCCAGCGCCCGCGCAGGGCCGUCUGCAGGAGCGGCGCCUCCGUGGAGAUCGAGUGCCGCGCCGUGGACUUUCAGGCCACUACUGUGGUUUGGUACCGUCAGUUCCCGAAACAGAGCCUCGUGCCCAUGGCGACUUCUAACACAGGCUCCGAUGCCACCUACGAACAAGGUGUCUCCGAGGACAGGUUUCCCAUCAAGCACCCCAACCUAACAUUUUCAUCCCUGACGGUGACGAGCGCGCGUCCUGAAGACAGCGGGGUCUACAUCUGCAGCGGCAGUGACACAGCGCGCGGAGGCGGCGGGGGACCCCGGCAAGAACCUCUGUAGUGGGCCAAGGGGGUGGGUGUGGGAGAUUGGAAAACCGCAGCUUUGCUGACUGAGACCUCUGGGUGUGUGUCUGUGUGUGUACGUGGAGACAGAUGAGGGAGAGAGAGAAGGAAUCCGAGAGUGGAGUGUAGAGGUGUCGUGUUUGCGCACUACGCGUUGGGAAUAGAGUUGGGCCCACAGAGUGGCCAGCUGACAUGGAAAAGUCCCCUGAAAAUGAUAAAGCCUGGAGUUUUGUCCUGACUCUGCCACAUGUGAAUCAUGUGUUUGUGGGUAAAUCCACCCAUAAUCCUAUAGGUAGAUCUGAAGACACUUCUAUAAAUCGCUGUGUGUCUUCUGUGAUAAACUUUGGCACUUGGCUCUCCACGACUGUUCAGCACAGUCUUGUCACCAUGCAAGGCCUCAAGAUACAGAGAAGCACAGAGCAGCCAAGCAGAGGGAGAUAGUACUGAAAGAAGCCAAGGAUGUGCUCCAGGAAGCCCUGGUUGGUGGAUGAACAGGCUACCUACGGCUGGUGCAAAGGCAGGGAGCAACCCAGAGACCUCAGGACAGAGAAUUCCAAGGUGCCCAUGCAGAGGUGCUGGUGAGUUUGCUCCUGACAAAGUGUCAAGCCGAAGAGAAGGCAGAGGGAGGGGAAGGAAGACCUCAGACAAUGCAUCUUGAAGCUAGGGGACAGUAAGUGCAGCAGUGAGGGGUGGCCCUGCAGAAAAAUCCUUUCCCAGGAGAAACAAAAAAAAAAUUACAUUGACAACAAAUCUGUAAGACCCCAUGGAAAAUGGGCAAAAGAUAUUAACAUAUAUUUAAUAGAGGAAACAUAUAUGAACAAUAAACAUAUAAAGUGAUAUUUCAUUUCACUGAUAAUUAGGAUCACAUGAAACAAGACAUGAUGAUACAUAAUUUUAUAUCCAUUUGGUUCACAAAAUAUAAAAAGUUUAGAGAUGUAAAAUGUUAGAGAGGGUAUAGAUCCACAGGAUUACUUGUAAAUUCCUGGGAACAUAAGUAAUACAAACCACAUGGGGACGGCUCAGCAUUAUCUCAUGUAGUUGAAUGUUCCUAUAUUCCAGGACCCAGUAAUUCCACCCCUAGGUUUAUAUCAGGAGAAGCUCUUGCAUAUGCACAUAAGAAGAUGUAAAUACAAAGUGUUCUUAGCAGCACCAUUCACAACUGAAAAACAUGGAACCAAGCCAAAUAUGCACUGACAAAAGUGAAUGAAUAAACUGUGGUCUAUUCAUAGGAUGGGUAACUAUAUACAUCAGUCAAACUACAAAUGUACUAGAGUAACAAGCAAUGUUAUGUGUGAAUCUUAGCAAUAUAUAAUGACAUAAAAUGCAAAAACUAAGCCUGAUGAGAUUAUGUAAAGCAUGAGAUGCUUUUUAUAAAGCUAAAAAUAGCUAAAGCAAGAAAAUAAUUUUCAGAACUACAAAUAUAUAAAAUCAUAUUAGAAAGGAAGCAAGGAACCGUUGUGUACUGGAGCUGGCUUUUACCAGGUCAUGAGAGCCAAGUGUGCAUAUCUUUCCCAACUCAAAUUUUGGUGACAUCAUUUUAAUAGCUUGAAAUAGGCCGUGGUGGGAGUAUUUACACCACAGGAAUUAGCAAACAUGACAAAUCAGGGUUGCCAUAUUUUCCUCCAGCAAGCUAGCUGUCAAACAUUUACCAACACACAGGGGAAUGGCAGGGAAUGAUAGUGACCCAAGUUUAGGAUUUUUAUAAAGCUGGGGAGUGGCAAGAGAUGGAAUGAGAGAAAAUCACAUAGCUAUAAAUUUAAAUAUUAUCACAGUCUAUCUCACGUAUUGUCGAGGAGAUGUUUCACAAGUACCUAUUAUAUUCUUAAAUAACCAUUUAUUGAUAAGCAACUCCUGUGUGUUGUGAACCACAGUUAAGAUUAAUCAAAUAUUAUGCAUAUUAAAUCAAAAGGGAGAAAAAUGUGAAACAAAUAAAUGAUGGGAUUAGAAUUCUUGAAGGAGAAGGAUGGAGAGCAUUGUGUAGUGAGAACCAGGGAGUGAAAUAGCAGUGGCUCAGCCUCUGCCAUCCUCAUGUAGGAAUCAUUCACAGUGAACAAUCUACCAACAAUGGACCUGGACCCUGGUGAAUCCCUUUGUGGCAGAGAGCAGGGGACUGAGACACCAAGUGUGGAAAUGAAGGCAUGGAGAUGAGACCUUGGCCCUGGCCAACGUGGAGCUGACCAGAACAAGAUGGGGACCAAUUCAGCAAUGGUCAUGAUGCCACAUUAUAUCUACAUGGUGGCCAAGUCCCUGGGUUACUGGUGAUUAAAAAUGCACCUCCUGGGUUCAGUCACUUCACACUGUGUCAUUGCCACUGAAUCCAGGGACCCAUUUUAGUUGCAGCUUCCUAUUGUCCGUAGCUUCCUACUUUGUCCGUAUUUUCAGCCUGGAGAAGAGAGCCAGUGAAAUACUUUUUAAAUAUUCCACUGCUUCCUUCACCAGCAGCAAGGGAAAGAUAAGAGUGUUUAAGGCUCUAGCAUGAAACACAGAGAAAGUGGUAUCAUUCCUAUCUCAUGCAGUCAUUUAUUUCCCUCUAUGUUAAGCUUAACAGCAGUUAGCAUGGAUGGGUGCCGUGUUCAGACUUGCCUUUCCCAAUCCAGACGGCUAUUAGAGACACAGCCUUCUAUCUCCAUGCAUUACCUUAGGAAAAUAGGGUAAUAGCUUUGAAUAGCAUUGACUAUAAUUCAGUCCAAAUUUGUGUUCUGUCAUCCUGCGACAAGCACCAUCAAAAAGUAAAAA